GCUCUACUUCUCUUUGUUUUCCAUGCAUCUAAUGCAUGUGCUGUUUAAAAUAGCGCAUCCUACACUGGUUUCUUGUCACUUGCAGUACGUGGCCUAUAUUCCAGUAAGGCCUAUAGGUCGUAUUUUUAAACAUAAUUUAGGCUGAUUUAAAGUUGCAUAGAUCGACACGGCGCAGCAUUUAUUCUGUGAUUUUUUUUUUUCACGAGUCUGAAAAGUGUUUAAACUGUGUACCGAAAGCUAAGGAUUUUAAUUUCUCUACAUCCCUAUCAUGAUUCCAGUCCAAGCUCUCCCAGUCCUGUAACACAACAGAUGACGGCCAUGACCAUCUCCCAGGAUUCGGGGGCCAUAGACUCGGAUCGAGCGGAGACCGAGGACGGGGAAGAGGAGGGUACUUCCGGUAGCACAGAACCUGUUGGUGAAGCAGCGCAGGCUUCAUCAGAUGGAGACCAGACCUCGGAUAAAAACAAGAAAAAGAACCGCUGCUUUUCAUGCCG